GAUGAACGCUGGCGGCGUGCCUAAUACAUGCAAGUCGAGCGAACAGACGAGGAGCUUGCUCCUCUGACGUUAGCGGCGGACGGGUGAGUAACACGUGGAUAACCUACCUAUAAGACUGGGAUAACUUCGGGAAACCGGAGCUAAUACCGGAUAAUAUAUUGAACCGCAUGGUUCAAUAGUGAAAGACGGUUUUGCUGUCACUUAUAGAUGGAUCCGCGCCGCAUUAGCUAGUUGGUAAGGUAACGGCUUACCAAGGCGACGAUGCGUAGCCGACCUGAGAGGGUGAUCGGCCACACUGGAACUGAGACACGGUCCAGACUACUAAGGGAGGCAGCAGUAGGGAAUCUUCCGAAAUGGGCGAAAGCCUGACGGAGCAACGACGCGUGAGUGAUGAAGGUCUUCGGAUCGUAAAACUCUGUUAUUAGGGAAGAACAAAUGUGUAAGUAACUAUGCACGUCUUGACGGUACCUAAUCAGAAAGCCACGGCUAACUACGUG
rnacentral:rRNA from 1 species